AGGAGGCCUGAGCUUGCAGGCCAGAAAGCCAGAAGGGUUUGAAGACACCAAAAAGUAAACUUGUGGGGAGACUGUGCAUUUCCGCCCAGCAAUUUCCAAUCUCUGGAGCUGCUUCUUUGACUUUUCAGCCUCUUCCUUCUUGGAGCCUUCAUGGGACCUUCUGCCUGGGGUAGUGCAAUUGUUUCCCAUGAGUCCUUAUCACCUGUCCCUCAGCCUCCAGUUCACCUUUCAUAUGGUUGUCAAAUUCAUCUUUCUAAGAGUCCCACUUUUGUCAUGAUUCCUCAUUACCAACCAUCUAUGGUCCAUUGCCUAAGGAAGUGGUUCCAAAUGUUUCCAGUUUGGCAGAGUCAUGUGGCAAGUUUAAAGAAAUACAGGUCCU